UCCGCGGGGGUGGAAUGGCGCGAUGCAGCGGACUGGUCCCACGCCGGUGCUCAGCGGCGAGGGGCGAGACAAUGCUGGGCUAGCGGUGAUUCUAAGCCGGCCGAUAGGCGUGGGUCGCUGCGAAGCUUAAAGAAUCGGCUACACAUGUAGAUGCGAUGUGCUGACGAUCUUCGGACAGGGGUUCAACUCCCCUCGCCUCCACCA
rnacentral:tmRNA from 1 species